rnacentral:rRNA from 1 species
GAAGCCGCUUCGGUGGUGGAUGAGUGGCGAACGGGUGACUAACACGUGGGUAAUCUGCCCUGUACUUUGGGAUAAGCCUUGCAAACGGGGUCUAAUACCGGAUAGGACAUGCUCUCGCAUGGGGGUGUGUGGAAAGCUCCGGCGGUACGGGUUGAGCCCGCGGCCUAUCAGCUUGUUGGUGGGGUGAUGGCCUACCAAGGCGGUGACGGGUAGCCGGCCUGAGAGGGCGACCGGCCACACUGGGACUGAGACACGGCCCAGACUCCUACGGGAGGCAGCAGUGGGGAAUAUUGCACAAUGGGCGCAAGCCUGAUGCAGCGACGCCGCGUGGGGGAUGACGGCCUUCGGGUUGUAAACCUCUUUCGCCUGGGACGAAGCGAGAGUGACGGUACCGGGAGAAGAAGCACCGGCUAACUACGUGCCAGCAGCCGCGGUAAUACGUAGGGUGCAAGCGUUGUCCGGAAUUAUUGGGCGUAAAGAGCUCGUAGGCGGUGUGUCACGUCUGCCGUGAAAACCUGCGGCUUAACCGUGGGCGUGCGGUGGAUACGGGCAUCACUUGAGUUCGGUAGGGGAGACUGGAAUUCCUGGUGUAGCGGUGGAA